rnacentral:rRNA from 1 species
GACGAACGCUGGCGGCGUGCCUAACACAUGCAAGUUGAGCGACGAACCAGGGCUUGCCCUGGGGCAAAGCAGCGAACGGGUGAGUAACACGUGGGUAACCUACCCCGAUAACCGGGACAACCCGAGGAAACUCGGGCUAAUACCGGAUGUGCUCACUGGACUUCGGUUCAGUGCGUAAAGGAAGCUUCGGCCUCCGUAUCGGGAGGGGCCCGCGGCCCAUUAGUUUGGUGGUGAGGUAACGGCUCACCAAGACCGCGAUGGGUAGCUGGUCUGAGAGGACGAUCCGCCACACUGGGACUGAGACACGGCCCAGACUCCUACGGGAGGCAGCAGUGGGGAAUCUUGCGCAAUGCGCGAAAGCGUGACGGAGCAAAGCCGCGUGGGGGAAGAAGGCCUUCGGGUUGUAAACCCCUUUCAGGAGGGACGAAGGUUCGGCGGUGAAUAGCCGUCCGGACUGACGGUACCUCCACAAGAAGCCCCGGCUAACUACGUG